rnacentral:rRNA from 1 species
GUGCCAGCCGCCGCGGUAAAACGUAGGAGGCGAGCGUUAUCCGGAUUUACUGGGUGUAAAGCGCGAGCAGGCGGCCUGAUAAGUGGUGUGUGAAAGCGCCCUGGCUCAACCGGGCGAGGACAUGCCAGACUGUCGGGCUGGAGGUAGGUAGAGGCGAGUGGAAUUCCGGGUGUAGUGGUGAAAUGCGUAGAGAUCCGGAGGAACACCAGUGGCGAAGGCGACUCGCUGGGCCUGACCUGACGCUCAGACGCGAAAGCAUGGGGAGCGAACGGGAUUAGAUACCCCGGUAGUCC